UCCCUGGUGGUCCAGUGGGUAAGGCUCUGCACUUCCAAUGCAAAGGAUGCAGGUUUGAUUCCUGGUCCGGGAA
rfam:TPA: Bos taurus chromosome 20, whole genome shotgun sequence.